rnacentral:rRNA from 1 species
AUUGAACGCUGGCGGCAGGCCUAACACUUGCAAGUCGAGCGGAUGAAGGGAGCUUGCUCCUGGAUUCAGCGGCGGACGGGUGAGUAAUGCCUAGGAAUCUGCCUGGUAGUGGGGGAUAACGUCCGGAAACGGGCGCUAAUACCGAAUACGUCCUGAGGGAGAAAGUGGGGGAUCUUCGGACCUCACGCUAUCAGAUGAGCCUAGGUCGGAUUAGCUAGUUGGUGGGGUAAAGGCCUACCAAGGCGACGAUCCGUAACUGGUCUGAUAGGAUGAUCAGUCACACUGGAACUGAGACACGGUCCAGACUCCUACGGGAGGCAGCAGUGGGGAAUAUUGGACAAUGGGCGAAAGCCUGAUCCAGCCAUGCCGCGUGUGUGAAGAAGGUCUUCGGAUUGUAAAGCACUUUAAGUUGGGAGGAAGGGCAGUAAGUUAAUACCUUGCUGUUUUGACGUUACCAACAGAAUAAGCACCGGCUAACUUCGUG